GCGUGGAGCAUAGGCUUAGAAAUGAAAAAAGGAGGCAACAAAGAGAUUGGGAUUUUCUGUAAAAAGGGUGGUUGCCCCUCUCUGUUAUGCCUAUGACUUCUCCAUUGAAAAUCAACAGCCCUUUCAAUUAUACAAGAAAAACAACAAAAAUCAUCCAAACACACCCCUAAUAUAUAUUCCUCUUCUUUUCCUCCUCUCUUUGUGGUGCUGCUACUGAAUACCGAUGUUGUAAUGGGGCUGUGAUGAUUGCCUUUUCCAUUUCUGGCUAUGUUCAAUUCACGGUAUUGAGAAACUAUCCGACCCGUAUCUUGGCGGGGCGACCCGGUACGGUUUUUGUAUAGCUAACUGGUGUUUGCAGCCAUGGUGGCGUCGCCUUCUCUUUUGCUUUGACAAAAAAUACAGCAAAUCUGAGCCCUCACGAAAAUGUCCGUGUAAUAGCCUGUUUGGCCGUGAUUCUAAAACCAACUUAUUAGGCUGAAGAAACUAACCUUUAUUUUUUUAGUCCUCACAAGUCUGCAAUUAUGAAAAGGGUGAAGGUUAGCCCAGAAGAAUUUAAAGAAAUGAGGCCCUUAUUUUUUUAGUCCUUACAAGUCUGCAAUUAUGAAAAGGGUGAAGGUUAGCCCAGAAGAAUUUAAAGAAAUGAGGCAUAAACAGAGAGUUUGGGAUUUUCUUUGAAAGGGUGGUUGCCCCUCUCUGUUUCACUAUUGAUUUUCCUCCCAUUAUUUAAAAAAAGAGAAAAAAAGUAUCAACCGCCCUUUUUAUCUUUAUGACUGAAGAAUUUUAUUUUGUGUCUCGUACAACUCUUUUGUCUCACCGUUUUGUGGACCCAAAAGUGCACAAAAUAAAACUUCUCCUUUAUGACAAAAGCAGAAGCAGCAGAAAUGAUUUUAGUUAUAUAUACUAGCAUCUCUGUUUGAGCCUUGCUUAAUGGUAAAGUUGAUGCCAUGGUUCGAGCUGCCUCAUGCAGAAAUACAGUGUAAGGCAUGCGACCCCGUGCUAUGCCCUUUAUACUAGCAUCUCUGUUUGGAAGCAGCGCACUAAGUUUGUUGUUGUUGUUGUAUACUAACAUUUCUGUUUUUCCUAUGUGUGUUAUGUUACUGUGUUGUUGGAAGGUACAUAAAGAGCACUGAUGAUGAUGUUUCUAUAUCCCGGCUAACCGAUUUGGGCAUUGAGAUGAGCCGACCCGUAUCUUGGUGUGGCAACCUGGUAUGGCCUAUGAUUGAGAGUUUUGAAUCUUCUCUCACAUGCAACCGGUGUUUUGCAGCCAUGGCGUUGUUGGCUUCUCUUUUGCCUUAUCAUAACACACAUCUGACCCUCAUUUGCUUGAAAGUACAAAAGUUAGAAUCUUUUCCAUGAUUCGAUGUUGGGAUAUGUCGAACCUGUAACCUUCUGCCACGACUAUUAGAUUGCAAACCCAGUAACUCCAAAUGAUAUGUAGAAAUUCAAACUCGAAUAAAGUUCAAAUUCGGAAUCCGCCUCGGGAUGGAAAUGCAUUUAUCUGUCUGUACAGCGUACACUAACACCCUGUUUGGAUGGUUGUUCUCAUUGUAUUGUAUUGUUACCUUGAAAAGCUACACAACUAAAAAUAUGGAGAAGAAAUUAUAACCAGGAGAUAAAAAAGACCUCAAUGGUCCCUUAAGUUCAGGGGAAAGUCUGUAACGGGGCUGUGAUGAUUGAUUGUUUUCCGAGCUUCAUGGAAUCAGGAUUUGAUAGGCCGUAUCUUGGCUGGGCUGCUCGAUAACGGGAUUUGCAGCAAUGGCAGUGCUUGAGAUGGAGGUCAGACCCGAGCCUCAAAAUCUUUGUUAUUAUCAUCUCUACUUUACCAGAAGAAAGAAUGAGGCCAACAGGGGUAAGAGCGAGUUCUAGGAGGGUGGUUGCCCCCUCUGUUUGUCCUAUGAUGUCUUCUGUAAUAAAACCAACAACCCUCUUUCCUGAAAGAAAACCAAGAAAGCAAACAUCUGGCGCCUUUGCGUUAGGCAUGUAUGAGCUUAGUCCUAAACUUCCACACUUACAUGAAAUGAAUGAAAGAGUCAACAUUCUGAAAGAGGCAGUUAUUGUACUUGUUUAUUUGUGCUAUAAACCAUUAGGGCAUAGAGACAAUUUGACCCGUAUCUUGGCUUGGUAUGGGUCCUUAUCCUAUGAGCCGGGGGUCGAUUGGAAACAGCCUCUCUGCCCUUUCGGGUAGGGGUANNNNNNNNNNNNNNNNNNNNNNNNNNNNNNNNNNNNNNNNNNNNNNUCUGCCCUUUCGGGUAGGGGUAAGGCUUGUCUACAUAUUACCCUCCCCAGACCCCACCUGGUGGGAGUAUACUGGGUAGUUGUUGUUGUUGUUGUAUCUUGGCGUGGUAUGGGCUGUGAUUUGAGGACCUCUUUCACAUGCAAUCGAUUGUUUGCAGCCGUGGUGUGGCCGGCUUCUCUUUUGUCUUACCAAAACACACCUCUGAGCGCCAUUUGCUUUAAGAAAAUAAACAGAAUCUUUUCCGUGAUCUAAUGUUGGGCUAUGUCAAACCGACGAUUUUCUGCGACAAGUUGCAAACCAUCUUGCAGUCCUCAUUUAUCACCAUCUUGUUUCAGUAUCAGUUGAGGAUAGCCUAGAAAUAUAGAAGAAUGAGGCAUCAGAGAGACUGGGAUUUUCUGUAAAGGGUGGUUGCCCCUCUUUACUAUGCCCAUGAUUUUUCCAUUUAUAACCAAAAACAACAGCCCUUUCAAAUAAACAAGAAAAAAAAAAUGAAAUCCUUAAUCCAAACACACACUAUUAUGUUGCUCUUCCUCUUCUUUUUGUGCUGCUGCUACUGAUGCUGUAAAGGGGCUAUGAAGAUUGCUUUACUUUCUGGGCUAUGUUCAGUCAUGGCAUUGAGAAGAUACCUGACCUGUAUCUUGGCAUGGCAAGACGACCCAAUAUGUCUGUUGUAUAGCAAGCUGGUGUCUGCAGCCAUGGCAACAUCGCCUUCUCUCUUGCUUUGAUCAAAACAGUAAAUCUGAGCCCUCAAUGGCCAAACAGAGAGAAAGUCAUAGAAUGAGAUAUCAGUGAGAAAUAUUAUUUAUUUAUUUAUUUAUUUAUGCAUUCGUUCAGUUUUGCUGAUAAGCCCAUGCUUUCUUGCUGGAAGCAAUUAACAAUGCUUAGUUCUUUCUGUAAAUCUAUCUUCGAGAGAUGCAUGUUGUUGAUCUGCUGUUGCUGUUGCUGCUACCAUUCUUUUGUUCUCGCUGCUAUGUGGCUGCAUUAACACCCAAACAACGAGGAUCAUACUAAAGAUAAAGGUAAAAGUGAACAUUUUGAGGCAGUGAUGAUAUGACUCUUGCAAAUGGCGUUAUUGAUUUGCAUUGAGAUGGCUUAAACUUGUAUCUUGGCAGGGCAAUCUGGAGGAGAUUGCAGCCAUGGCGGUUUUGAGAAACUCAAUGCCUGAUCAUAGUGAGAUAUGAGCCUCAUAUGAAAAUAGCAAAAAUCUCAUUAGUUUAAGUCUGAGGCUUUUGUUGAAGCAGAGGGCUGUGGGGAGUUUCAAUUAGUGGUUUUGCCCCUUUCUGUCAUUCUCUGAUGCCGAUGAUCACUCGAAUGAAAAUAUUUUCCGAUUCCAAAACCAGCCUUUUGGUGAAAAUACAUAUAACCUCUCUAUUUUCCUUUCUUGUCACUCCUGUUUCAUGUUAUGUAAUGCAACGAGGCAAUGAAGAUUUUGUUCUUCUGUGAAAGAUGAAUCAAGACAUAUAUUUCUAUUGAGCUGCGAAAAAACUGUAACUUGGCAUGGUAGCUCAGAUGAGUCUGUGAGAUAUUGGAAAAUGUUCCAUUUCUUUGGUGCUUCUUCCGUGUCUCUUAAGGCUUAUUGAUGCUUGCAGCCAUGGUGGUUUUACCAAAGCACUUUUGGUUUUUGUCCGAGGAAAGGCGAAUCUGAGCAUUUUUACUUUGAGUUUGGUUUUUGGUUCUCUCUUCUCCUUGGUUUUACCCCAUUAAUCUAAGGUUACCCCGAAAGCUUUCACUGAUGACUCACUCCUAAUUCCUAAAGAAAGAAAGCGAAAUAUGUACAAGAGUUUUUGGUUUUCACUCUUCUCCUUGGUUUUGCCUCAUUAAUCUGAGGUUACCCGAAAGCUUUCACUAAUGACUCACUUCUAAUUCAUAAAGAAAGAAAGAUAAUAUAUUCAAGAAAUAAUUUAUUUUUACAGCUUUCAGGGUAGUAGAAAAAGAACUGUUAUGGAGAUGUAACAAAACAAAAGCUCAGGAGAACGAGAAUGAGGCUUCAGAUAGUUUAGGAUUUUCUGUUGAAAGGGUGGUUGCCUCUCUCUGUAUUAGUCCAUGAUUUCUCCAUUACUAUAACAAUCCCAACAGCCCUGUAAAAAUUUCAUGGAAUGGCCAGUUUUCACCUUGCUAUUUAAGGUAUAUCCAGUUUUUUCAAAGUAUUUAAGUUGUAGCUAGUGUUGGUGAGUAUGAUUGACUGCUUGAAAGAGGUGAUGAUGAUUUCUGGUCAAUCUUCUAUUCCCUUCUGAGCUUAUCAAUUGGGCAUUGUAUUAGCCCAUGAUUUCUCAAUUACUGUAACAAUCCCAACAACCCUGUAAAAAUUUCAUGGAAUGGCCAGUUUUCACCUUGCUAUUUAAGGUAUAUCCAGUUUUUUCAAAGCAUUUAACUUGUAGCCAGUGUUGGUGAGUAUGAUUGACUGCUUGAAAGAGGUGAUGAUGAUUUUUUGUCAAUUUUCUAUUCCCUCUGAGCUUAUCAAUUGGGCAUUUGAGAUGAUUUUGACUCUUAUCUUGGCAGGGCAUGCCCCUAGAUUUCUGGUGUUUUUUUGCAGCCAUGGCACCAUCAGGAUCUCCUUUUGCUUGACUUAUAACACAGAUCUGUGCCUCUAAACCGUAAUCAGAUCUACCCGGUUGGUCCGAAGCAGGGGCGAUUUGCACAAAUAGGAUUCUGAGGUCACUAUUAAUAUUUUGUUGCGCAAGUUUUUUGCAAAUCUCAUUAGUUUAGUUUAAGUCUGAGGCUGCGAUGAAAGCAGAGAGCUGUGGGGGGUUUCAAUGGAUGGUUUUGCCCCUCUCUGUCAUUUUGCGCUACCAGUGAUCGCUCCAAUGAAAAACUUUUACAACUAAUAAACCACCCUAAAUACAUACGACCUUGCUAGUUUCCUUUUCUUGUUACUCUCUUGGUUUCAUUUUAUGUGCAAUGAGGCUAUGAAGAUUUUGUUUUUCUGCGGAAUAUGUAUCAGAUAUCUUUCUAUUACAACAACGUCAAUAUACCCAUUGAAAUCCCACUAGUAGAGACGGGGAGGGUAGUGUGUGCGCAGGCCUUAACCCUACCCUUAUGAAGAUAGAAAUGUUAUUUCCGAUAGAGUUGUAAAAAUUAGAUUUGAGAUUAUCCGGACUGCAUCUUAGCGGGGCAUGCCCCCAGAUUUCUUUUGGUUUAUGCAGCCAUGGCGUCUUUGGAUCUCUUUUUGCAUUGUCUAGUUGAAGUGUCUCAAUGACAAUUCAUGACAAGUUUGAGGGGCUAUCUAUGUAUUCUGCCUAUCUGAAAUAACAAUUCAUAUACAAUACAAGCUGUUAUUAGUCUAUUUGGUUUAGAGACAAAGAAUGAGGGUUGCAGAGAGUAGAGGGAAGCUCAAAGGCAGCUGCUCCUCUCUACAAUACCUGUGAUUUCAUUUUUGCCAAACAAGGCCCUAAUGUGGUAAACUGUAUCCAAAUGACCCCUCUACUCUAUCUCCAAAUCCUCACUCCCAAAAAGUGAAUCAAUAAUUAUAAUAUUAAUUGUAGCAAAAAUAUGAGGCUGUGAUGAUAUUUUUUCUUCUGUCUCUGAAGAAAAUCAAUUAGGAAAGAGAAAAAGAACAAUUCGACCCGUACCUUGGCGGGGCGACCGGGACGGUGACGACUUGCAACCGGUAUUUGCAGCCAUGGCGGUGUCUCCAAUCUCUUGCCCAAGCUUUAAUAUUACAGAUCUGAGCCUCAAUUGGAAGGUUUUUUUCUCAAGUGCAAACUUACAGGCUCUUUUCCGUUGAACGUUGAAAUUCUCAGCUGAAAAACCCAUGAGAAUUUCCCCUAAAUAUGCAAAAAGAUUAGCCCAGAAAGAAAUGAAGCAAAGCAGAGAAUAUUGGGAUUUUCAUUUGAAGGGUGGUGGCCCCUCUCUGUUCUGCCAUUGAUUUUCCUCCAUUUAAAAAAAAAACAACAGCCCUUGUUUAUGACAAAAGAAGAAGCAGACGAUCUUUGGACAUAAGAAUUAUAAAAUUCCUGAAAAAAGUAAACUUUUCAGUGAAAUCUCUAUUUACUUUUUGUGUGUGUGUUUAUGUUGCUGAUGGAAGUUACAUAAGAGGCAGUGAUGAUGAUGUUUCUUGUAUCUGGGCUAACCGAUUUGGUCAUAGAGAUGACUGGACCCCCGUAUCUUGGCGUGGCAACCUUGUAUGGCCUGUGAUUGAGAUUUAUGUCUCUCACUUGCAACUGGUGUUUUGCAGCCAUGGCAUAGCUGGCUUCUCUUUGCCUUAUCAUAACAUAUCUGAGCCCCAUGUGCAAGAAAAGAAAAGAAAGAUAAUCUUUUCUAUGAUUUAGAUUAUCAGGAAAAUAGGAACGGGAGUCUUGGAGUAACAUAGCUUUGCCCCAUUUGUAAUCUUUUCUAUGAUUUGGAUUAACACGAAAAUAGGAAGGGGAGUCUUGGCGUAAUGGUAAGUUCUCCUUGUGUGACCUAUCAUUCACGAGUUCGAGUUGUCAAAGCGUUCACAACUAUUGGUUCUUGCAUUAGGGUAUCUGUCUACAUUACACUCCUUGAGUGCAGCGACUCCCCGGGCCCUCGCGAACGUAGGUUGUCUUGUGCACCAGGCUGCCCUUGGAUUAACAGGAAGAUAACAAAAAACUCAUUUGUUAGUUCGAGGCUGCGGUCACGGCAGAGAGCUGUAGGAAGUUCCUUUGGGUGGUUUUGCACCUCUGUAGUUGUCCCCCGCUGAUGAUCGCUCAAAUGCCCCUUUUUAGAACAACCCUUUGGUGAAAAUACGUAUUACUCCCUCCCUUUCAAUUUAUGUGAUGCAAUGAGGCUACGAAGGAAGGGGAGCCUUGGCGUGACGGGUAAAGUUGAUGGCAUGUGAUCAGGAGAUCACGGGUUCAAGCCGUGGAAAAUAUGCAGCUAAGACUGCGUACAAUACUCUUGUGUUCUGGCCCAUCACCGGAACGGUGGACCCUGCAUAAUGGGAGCUUAGUGAACCGGUCCGCCCUGAAUGAGGCUAUGAAGAUUUUAUUCUUCUGUGGGAGAUGAAUCAGACUUACAAAUCUAUUGAGCUGGGAAAAAUUUGUAAUCUUGGCGUGGCAGCUCAGAUGGGGCAGAAGAAUCCAUUUUUGUGUGUUUUUUCCCUUUUUCAUAAGACUAACUGAUGCUUGCAGCCAUGACGGUCUUUUUCCAAAGCUUUUUGGGUUUUUGGCUGAGAAAAGGAGAAGAAUGAGGCAACAGAGAGAUUGGGAUUUUCUGUAAAAGGGUAGUUGCCCCCCUCUGUUAUUCCUACGAUUUCUCCAUUGUAAAUCAACAGUCCUUUGAAUUAAACCCAAAAGAAAAAAAUCAUUCAAUCAGACCCUUAAUAUAUUGCUCAUCCUCUUCCUCUUUGUCCUCUCUUUGUGUUGCUGCUACUGAAUACUGAUGUAUAUAUAGGGACUGAUUUUUGCUUUUCGUUUCUGGCUAUGUUCAAUUCAUG
rnacentral:lncRNA from 1 species